GCUUGUCUCAAAGAUUAAGCCAUGCAUGUCUAAGUACAAGCCUCAGUAAGGUGAAACCGCGAAUGGCUCAUUAAAUCACACCUAAUCUACUGGAAAGUUACUAGUUACUUGGAUAACUGAGGUAAUUCUUGAGCUAAUACAUGCAUUCAAGCCCCGACUUCUGGAAGGGGUGUAUUUAUUAGAUAAAAAUCAACUUUGUUGGUGAAUCAUAAUAACUUCUCGGACCGCAUGGCCUCGUGCUGGCGGUGCUUCAUUCAAAUAUCUGCCCUAUCAACUGUCGAUGGUAGGAUAGAGGCCUACCAUGGUUGCAACGGGUAACGGGGAAUAAGGGUUCGAUUCCGGAGAGGGAGCCUGAGAAACGGCUACCACAUCCAAGGAAGGCAGCAGG
rnacentral:rRNA from 1 species